rnacentral:rRNA from 1 species
UGGGGAAUAUUGCACAAUGGGCGCAAGCCUGAUGCAGCCAUGCCGCGUGUAUGAACAAGGCCUUCGGGUUGUAAAGUACUUUCAGCGAGGAGGAAGGCGUUGUGGUUAAUAACCGCAACGAUUGACGUUACUCGCAGAAGAAGCACCGGCUAACUCCGUGCCAGCAGCCGCGGUAAUACGGAGGGUGCAAGCGUUAAUCGGAAUUACUGGGCGUAAAGCGCACGCAGGCGGUCUGUCAAGUCGGAUGUGAAAUCCCCGGGCUCAACCUGGGAACUGCAUCCGAAACUGGCAGGCUAGAGUCUUGUAGAGGGGGGUAGAAUUCCAGGUGUAGCGGUGAAAUGCGUAGAGAUCUGGAGGAAUACCGGUGGCGAAGGCGGCCCCCUGGACAAAGACUGACGCUCAGGUGCGAAAGCGUGGGGAGCAAACA